rnacentral:rRNA from 1 species
UGAACGCUAGCGGCAGGCUUAACACAUGCAAGUCGAGGGGCAUCGGGAGUAGCAAUACUUGCCGGCGACCGGCGCAAGGGUGCGUAACGCGUGAGCAACAUGCCCGUAUCAGGGGGAUAAUCCAUGGAAACGUGGUCUAAUACCCCAUAGUAAUUAUGUAAGGCAUCUUAUAUAAUUUAAAGCUUUGGUGGAUACGGAUUGGCUCGCGUGACAUUAGCUGGAUGGUAAGGUAACGGCUUACCAUGGCUACGAUGUCUAGGGGUUCUGAGAGGAAGGUCCCCCCACACUGGAACUGAGACACGGUCCAGACUCCUACGGGAGGCAGCAGUGAGGAAUAUUGGACAAUGGAUGGAAAUCUGAUCCAGCCAUGCCGCGUGCAGGGAAAGACGGCCCUAUGGGUUGUAAACUGCUUUUGUAUGGGAGCAAUAAGGGCUACGUGUAGUCCGAUGAGAGUACCAUACGAAUAAGCACCGGCUAACUCCGUGCCAGCCGCUGC